rnacentral:rRNA from 1 species
UACGUAGGGGGCAAGCGUUGUCCGGAUUUAUUGGGCGUAAAGAGCGUGUAGGCGGCCAGUUAGGUCCGUUGUGAAAACUCGAGGCUCAACCUCGAGACGCCGAUGGAAACCAACUGGCUAGAGUCCGGAAGAGGAGAGUGGAAUUCCUGGUGUAGCGGUGAAAUGCGCAGAUAUCAGGAAGAACACCCGUGGCUAAGGCGGCUCUCUAGUACGGUACUGACGCUGAGACGCGAAAGCGUGGGGAGCGAACAGG